rnacentral:lncRNA from 1 species
UUAACUUGCGAAGCUUGAAAAGUCAUUCUCUUCACGUGGUUAAUUUGGAAGUUAUCCAAUGUAUGUAAAAACAUGAAUCAGAAGCAAAUUGAUGAAAUCGGAGGGAAAAAAUGUUACUUAGUAAUUGUAUAUGUUAUGAAGGCAUCAAAUAAAGUCCUGAUAAAAUACCAGCAUCUUUAUAUUAACCACUUUACAUAUAAAUUAUAAAUGAUUAUCAAACAUCCUUAAACAAAUUUCAUUUAGGGAAGACUGAUGAGGGAACUCCGCCUAUGUAAUUUUACAUUGCCGGUCCCAAGCCCGGAUAAAGGAGGAGGGGGAGGGCGUCAGGUAGUCGACAGCCUGCACUCCAUGAUCACGUCGAAUCCUUAUGAAAAUGAAUCCAGAACAAAAUCGCGCUAAAGCUAGGGCGUCACCCGUAAGUGGCGCGCUGUGUGGCCCGAGCACAGUGAUAAGUGAGCAAGGGUCGCUGUAUCUCCAUCGGCACCCGGAUGCAGUGUUAAAUGAGCAAGGGGGCCGUAGAAACUUCUUUUCGAACGACUCCACUCAAAGUUGUUUGGGAGCAUAUGCUCCUAUCAACUUUACACGGGACACACAAAAGAAGUACUUUGAUCCUAUUAGACGGGGGAGGGUGAAGAAGCUAGGACAGAAGGGUAGAGUUCAAGAGAGCAAAAUGCGUUUAGGAACGUGGAAUAUAGGAACCUUAACGGGAAAAUCUAUGGAAGUAGUGGAAGUUAUGGUGAGGAGAAGGAUAAAUAUUAUGUGCCUACAAGAAACUAAGUGGGUUGGUAGUAAGGCAAAUGAUCUAGAAAACUCAGGGUUUAAACUUUGGUAUUCGGGCACAAAUAGAACGAGAAACGGUGUUGGCAUCAUCGUGGACAAGACCUUGACACAAGAUGUUGUAGAUGUCAAGAGGGUAGGAGAUAGAAUCAUGGCAAUCAAGAUUGUAAUAGGACAAGAACUUAUCAAUGUGAUUAGUGCGUACGCACCUCAAGUAGGGUUGGAUACGAGUUCGAAGGAGAAAUUUUGGGAAGACCUUGGAGACUUGGUGCAAGGAAUUGCUCAGACGGAGAAGUUAUUUAUAGGAGGAGAUCUAAAUGGACACGUGGGCAGGGAGACAGGCAACUAUGGAGGUUUUCAUGGUGGCCAUGGUUUUGGAGAGAGAAACGAGGAUGGGGAAGCUAUCUUGGAUUUUGCAAUGGCAUAUGAUCUCUUCUUAGCCAACACCUUCUUUAAGAAGAGAGAAGAACAUGUGAUCACCUACAAGAGUGGGUCGUCAAAAACACAAAUAGAUUUUCUUCUAAUGAGGAAAGGGGAUCGUAUAACUUGUAAGGAUUGCAAAGUUAUACCAGGAGAGAGCGUGGCUAAUCAACAUCGCUUGUUGGUGAUGGAUGUACAUAUCAAAAGAGGGAGACAAAAGAACAAGACUUGGAAGUGCCCAAGGACUAGAUGGUGGAAUCUAAAAGAAGAAAAACAAGCCAUUUUCAAAGAGAAGGUAAUCACCCAAUGUGUGUGGGAUAGAGAGGGGGAAGCUAGCCAAAUGUGGGAUUCCAUGGCUAGUUGUAUCCGAAAAGUAGCAAAAGAGGUAUUAGGAGAGUCCAAGGGCUUUGCCCCACACCAAAAGGAAUCUUGGUGGUGGAAUGAGGAGGUACAAACAAAGGUGAAGGCUAAGAAGGAAUGUUGUAAAGCCUUAUACAAGGAGAGGACCGAUGAAAAUGGUGAAAGGUAUAGAAAAGCGAAGCAAGAGGCGAAGAAAGCGGUCAGAGAAGCUAAGUUAGCGGCUUACGACGAUAUGUAUAAACGACUAGAUACCAAAGAAGGAGAGUUGGAUAUCUAUAAAACUAGCUAGAGCAAGGGAAAAGAAGACAAGGGACCUAAACCAAGUGAGGUGCAUCAAGGAUGAGGAUGGAAAGGUUCUUGCUACAGAGAACGCGGUUAAAGACAGAUGGAGAGGUUAUUUUCAUAAUAUUUUCAAUGAAGGACAUGAAAGGAGUGCUUCUUUAGGGGAGUUGAGUAACUCAGAAGAGUGUAGAAACUACUCUUUUUAUCGUCGAAUCCGGAAGGAAGAAGUGGUUGUAGCUUUGAAGAAGAUGAAGCAUAGAAAAGCAAUAGGCCCAGACGAUAUACCAAUUGAAGUGUGGAAAGUUUUGGGAGAGACAGGUAUAACAUGGCUCACUGACCUUUUCAAUAGGAUUUUGAAAACAAAGAAGAUGCCAAAUGAGUGGCGAACGAGCACUUUGGUGCCUAUCUACAAGAAUAAGGGCGACGUACAAAAUUGCAUGAACUAUAGGGGUAUUAAGUUAAUGAGUCAUACAAUGAAGCUCUGGGAGAGAGUCAUUGAGCAUAGAUUGAGGCAAGAGACACGGGUUUCGGACAACCAAUUCGGGUUCAUGCCAAGGCGCUCAACCAUGGAGGCAAUCUAUCUCUUACGAAGAUUGAUGGAAAGAUAUAGAGAUGGGAAAAAGGAUUUACACAUGGUCUUUAUAGAUUUGGAAAAAGCGUAUGAUAGGGUCCCAAGAGACAUUCUUUGGAGGAUCUUAGAGAAGAAAGGAGUACGAGUAGCAUAUAUCCAAGCUAUAAAGGAUAUGUAUGAAGGAGCAAAGACUGCCGUAAGAACUCAUGAAGGACAAACCGAAAGCUUUCCCAUAACUGUAGGAUUACAUCAAGGCUCAUCCUUAAGUCCUUACCUUUUUGCGUUGGUAAUGGAUGAGUUAACAGGACAUAUUCAAGAUGAUAUUCCUUGGUGUAUGCUUUUCGCAGACGAUAUAGUGUUGAUAGAUGAAACUCAGGAAGGGGUAAAUGCAAAGCUUAACCUUUGGAGAGAAGUGUUGGAAUCUAAAGGUCUUCGCCUAAGCCGAUCAAAGACAGAAUAUAUGGAGUGCAAGUUCAGUGCAGAUGGAGGCCAAAACGAGUUAGGGGUGAGGAUCGGAGAUCAAGAAAUACCAAAGAGCGACCGUUUUCGUUACCUAGGAUCUAUCUUGCAAAAGAACGGAGAAUUAGAUGGAGAUCUCAACCAUAGAAUACAAGCUGGAUGGAUGAAGUGGAAGAGUGCAUCUGGCGUGUUGUGUGAUCGCCGUAUGCCAUUGAAGCUCAAGGGAAAAUUUUAUAGGACGGCAAUAAGGCCGGCGAUGCUGUAUGGCACAGAAUGUUGGGCGGUGAAGCAUCAACACGUACACAAAAUGGGUGUAGCGGAGAUGAGGAUGCUUCGUUAGAUGUGUGGGCACACGAGAAAGGAUAAAAUUAGGAAUGAGGAUAUCCGGGGUAAAGUAGGAGUAGCCGAAAUUGAAGGAAAGAUGAGAGAAAAUCGGUUACGGUGGUUUGGACAUGUGCAAAGAAGGCCUACUGACGCUCCGAUUAGAAGAUGCGACUAUGGGACAGAGGUUCAGGGCCGAAGGGGUAGAGGAAGACCUAGGAAAACUUUGGAAGAGACUCUAAGAAAAGACUUAGAGUACUUGGAUCUAACGAAGGACAUGACACAGGACCGAGCACAAUGGGACGUUCUAAGGCGUUCUAAUUCAUAUAGCCGAUCCCACUCAGUGACUUGGAUUUUCCAAGUCUCCAACCGAGAAGUUUUCCUCACUCGAAAAAUUAAGGGAACACUACCCCAACCUACAUGCUCCACUCAGAAAGCUUCAACAUACAAGCUUCAACAAAAGAAAAUUCAAAAGAACUUAGUGAAGAAGGCUUUGGUGUAUUUAACACAAUACGUUGAAAUGAAGGAAAACUUAUUUAUUGAUAUCCCCGAUAAGCUACAAAUAUGUACAUAUACAUGAGUCAAAAUAAACAAACAAGAUGGAGCCUUCACAAAGGUUGCUUAGGAGAAGUCUCAGCAGUCGGUAGAGCCCCAGAAAGAGAAGGCAUCGGAGGGGGAUCAUUCGGAGCCUCAGUACUGGACAGAACCCUAGAAGGAGGAGGCAUCAGAGGUUGAUCAUUUGGAGCUUCAUUACGCGGUACAGCCCCAGAAGACGAAGGCAAUAAAUGCCUUUGGAACAAACCCACAAAUCUCUGAUGAUCAAGUAAAACCUGACCAUCAGUUUCCUUCAUCUGGUCAAGCUUCCUCUUUCAUGUUUGUAGCAUAGUCAUGUGCGAGCCGGUGCAACUGUUUAUUCUCAUGCUUGAGCCCUCUAAUCUCCUGUUUGAGACUCAUCACUUCGGCCGCCAAUGAUUUCAACUUGGCGGGUUCGAGCAAAUAUAGGCGUUGGGCCAUAUUAGACACAGAACCUGCACACUGAACACUGAGAGCCAGUGAAUCCUUAACAGCUAACUCAUCAGACCGUUUGGAAAGUAGUCUGUUAUCUUUGGGAGUGAGAAGGUUCCUGGCCACCACCGCAGCGGUCAUAUCAUUCUUCAUCACGGAAUCCCCAACGGUAAGAGGACCAGUAGGGGAGACGAAGGAUGGGCGCCAUAUGUUGUCUGGAGAAGGCGGGGCUGCCUCUUCAACAAGGUUCAAGUCAAAACGACGGUCGGAGGGGCCAGACAUUUUCAAAGGGUAUUGAAGAGAGAAGAGGUCGGACAAAUCAAGAUCUUAGAAGUGCAAGAAUGGAGCUUCUACUGGUGGAGAUUCAAGUGUGCUUUGGAACUUAAUGCCAGCCCCUAUAAAAAGCUGCACUCGACGGAGCUUCAGACAUCGAAGAGGCGCCUGCUCAGAAAUCGAAGAGGCGUUUGCUUUCUCAAAAGCUGGGCUGCUUAGAGACCACGAGGGUUGAUCUCAUAAAUCGAAGAGGUGUCUGCUUUCUCAAAAGUUGGGCUGCUCAAAGACCACGAAAGCCGAUAUCAGAAAUCGAAGAGGCGCUCGCUUCCUCAAAAGCUGGGCUCCUCAGAGACCACGAGGGCCGAUCUCAGAAAUCGAAGAGGCACCUACUUUUCCAGCCUUGUCAGCACCUGUCACACGCACACUCAACUUUGCGGAAAUUAUGGGUAUUCUGUUGAAGACUUCUGGGGAAGUAGAAAACACAUGAAUCUUACUGUCCAAUCACCCACUUCCCACACGCAGCAAUAGCUCAUGGGUACCACAGAUAACUUUGCCAAAGUUCUCUGCCAAAGUUGAGCACGUGAAGCUUGCAGCUCCCACUACAUCGCUCUGACCAAUAAGGGUAAAAGAAUAGCAAAGAAACAGCACUAACAAAGUUUAGACCCAUAAAUUUUGAAGGUCUAGCUACCAUAUUAUUACCCACAAGGGUAAAGGAACAGUACCACUGUUGGAUAAUUGGAAAGUCCCUGUGUGUCAACCUCUGUGCCUCGUGGCAAGGUAGACUAGCAAACAUGCCCAACCUUUACUCACAUUCGAGAAAACACUCCCAAUAAGAUUGCUUGCUCCAAAAUCGAAGAGGCACCGUCCUCCGAAUCUCGAGAGCCAGACUCCCAACAUGACUACUUUCUCAAAAAUCGAAGAGAGGGUAAAGGAAACAGUACCAUUGCUGGAUAAUUGGAAAGUCCCUGUGUGUCAACCUCUGUGCUUCGUGGCAAGGUAGACUAGCAAACAUGCCCAACCUUUACUCUCACAUUCGAGAAAAACACUCCCAACAAGAUUGCUUGCUCCCAAAAUCGAAGAGGCACCGCCCUCCGAAUCUCGAGAGCCAGACUCCCAACAUGAUUACUUUCUCAAAAAUCGAAGAGACACUGCUCCCCGAAUCUCGAGAGCCAGACCCCCACCCCCAACAUGAUUGCUUUCUCAAAAAUCGAAGAGGCAUCGUUCUCCCGAAUCAAUCGAAGAGGCGCUCGCUUUCUCUCAAAAGCUGGGCUGCUCAGAGACCACGAGGGCCAAUCUCAGAAAUCGAAGAGGCACCUUCUUUUUCUAGCCUUGUCAGCACCUGUCACACGCACACUUAGCUUUUGCGGAAAUUAUGGGCAUUCUGUCGAAGACUUCUGGUGAAGUAGAAAGCACAUGAAUCUUACUGUUCAAUCACCCACUUCCCACACGCAACAAUAGCUCAGGGGUACCACAGAUAACUUUGUCAAAGUCUCUGCCAAAGUUGAGCACGUGAAGCUUGCAGCUCCCACUACAUCGCUCUGACCAAUAAGGGUAAAAGAAUAGCAAAGAAACAGCACUAACAAAGUUUAGACCCAUAAAUUUUGAAGGUCUAGCUACCAUAUUAUUACCCACAAGGGUAAAGGAACAGUACCAUUGCUGGAUAAUUGGAAAGUCCCUGUGUGUCAACCUCCGUGCUUCGUGGCAAGGUAGACUAGCAAACAUGCCCAACCUUUACUCACAUCCGAGAAAACACUCCCAACAAGAUUGCUUACUCCAAAAUCGAAGAGGCACCGCCUUCCGAAUCUCGAGAGCCAGACUCCCAACAUGAUUACUUUCUCAAAAAUCGAAGAGACACUGCUCCCCGAAUCUCGAGAGCCAGACCCCCACCAUGAUUGCUUUCUCAAAAAUCGAAGAAGCAUCGUUCUCCGAAUCUCGAGAGCCAGAUACCACAUACCACUUUUUCAAAGUGCUCUGACAGAGUUAAAACAUGUGAAGCUGGCAGCUCCCACUACCGUGCUAUGACCAAGCAGGGUAAAGGAAUAGCAUUACUACUUGUUGUUAGGGAGACUCCUAUAUAUGUCGACCUCCAUCCCCAACGGACAGGCAGACCUGCAAAAAUGCUCAACCCUUCCUCAUAUCUGAGAGGGCACUCCCAACGAAGCCUUUCGAAAUAUUCAGCUUUCUUUCCCCCCGAUAAUACCUUUGCAAACAAGCUAUACUAGAGCAAGAAUAUCUCAUAUCAUCAGGGUUAAAAGCAAGAGUAUCCCAUAUCAUGCUUUUUCCCUGUCUUUUCCUUUGGCCUUGUUUUUACCUGCAAGACAAGGAGAAAGAGAGCAAUCAGUCAGCACUUGAAAUCAAGCUUCCAGCCAGGAACUGACAGCCUGGAACCCCUUACCUGAUUACUUACCUGGCAUUGCUCUCGAGUACUCAUCUUCAACAUCUUAUGUUGCCAGGGAAGAUACCGCAUCUGCUUGAGGAACAGAUAGGGCAAGUGCGAAGGAUACAAGGAAGCAUGUGGAGACAAGCGUAACAGCACACGUGCCGAUCCAUCCAUUACUCUGUCAAAAGCAAAAGUAUCCCAUAUCAGCAGGGCCGAACGUACUCUAGAUUUGAUGGACUUGUUUUGACCCUCAAAUUCUUCAGUCGGCCUUAUACUCUGGAGGAAACCAGAAAACCCUCCAGCUCAGUUCAAGAAUAAGCCUGUGGAAAGUUACUUCUUCAAAAGCAAAAGUAUAUCCCAUAUCAUCUCUUCUCAUUUUUCUUCUCUUUAUCCUUCAUGCUGCUGCAAGAUGGGGAGAAGGUGAACAAUCAGCCGGAGCUCUGAUUGCUUACCUUGUCUGUCACCUCUUUCAGCAAAUCCCCUAGCUCGGCGACUUGGGGGACUCCUACUACAUGGUUUGUAUCGCGCUUGACCAAGCCUGAAACUACAAGUAAGCUUCAAGUGAAAUUGAUACAUUACCUAGUGCAUCUCCACCAGUUAAAGAUACCACCCCUGGAUGGAGGAAGAGUACUUCCAGAGAGCUGCCACAUCUACCUAUGAGACAGAUAAGGCAAGUCAAGAUGAUACCACACUCCGAUACUUAGAAGUUUCGUGAUUACGAGAUCAUUCUCCCACAAUAUUUCCUAAUGUCAUUUGUACUCACUAAAGGAGAGCUUGAACCUAUGUACUUGUGUAAACCCUUCACAAUUAAUGAGAACUCUUCUAUUCCGUGGACGUAGCCAAUCUGGGUGAACCACGUACAUCUUGUGUUUGCUUUCCUAUCUCUAUCCAUUUAUAUACUUAUCCACACUAAUGACCGGAGCAAUUUAGCGAAGAUCACAAAAAGCGACCGUUUUCGCUACCUAGGAUCUAUCUUACAAGAGAACGGAGAAUUAGAUGGAGAUCUCAACCAUAGAAUACGAGCUGGAUGGAUGAAGUGUAAGAGUGCAUCCAGCAUGUUGUGUGACCGUCGUAGGCCACUGAAGCUCAAGGGAAAAUUUUAUAAGACGGCAAUAAGGCCAGCGAUAUUGUAUGGCACAGAAUGUUGGGCGGUGAAACAUCAACACGUACACAAAAUGGGUGUAGCAGAGAUGAGGAUGCUUCGUGGGAUGUGUGGGCACACGAGAAAGGAUAAGAUUGAGAAUGAGGAUAUCCGAGGUAAAGUAGGAGUAGCCGAAAUUGAAGGAAAGAUGAGAGAAAUCGGUUUUGGUGAUUUGGACAUGUGCAAAGAAGGCCGACUGACGCUCUGGUUCGAAGAUGUGACUACGGGACAGAGGUUCAGGGCCGAAGGGGUAGAGGAAGACCUAGGAAAACUUUGGAAGAGACUCUAAGAAAAGGCUUAGAGUACUUGGAUCUAACGGAGGACAUGACACAAAACCAAGCGCAAUGGCGUUCUAGGAUUCAUAUAGCCGACCCCACUUAGUGGGAAAAGGCUUUGUUGUUGUUGUUGUUGUUGUUGUUGAAGACUGAUGAGGGGAUAUACGACUCACAAACAACUGAGACUGUCCUUUUUUUUUUCUUCUUUUUUUCAUAUCAACAAACACACAAAUUCUUAUAUUUCCGAAAGCACUUGCAUCCCAACAUAAAAACUUAAAUAAUACAUGAAUCAUCGAUGUUUUGCUUUGCAAACAGCCAAGGGGAUGGGAACUAAAAUAAAUUUCGUGACCAAGAACCUCUUAAAAACCAAGCUUGAAAGCAUAAAAACAAAGCUUUCAAUCUUUCUGUGCAAAUUAAUAUCAUAAUCAAUUCAACCACAUUUCCGCAAUCCAAAGCUUCAAACUUCAUACAAAAAUACAAUAAUUUUUAGAAUUUCACCCAAACAUAAAGAGAAUAAUAUUGUUAGGUGCGGAGAAGAAAAAACCAGGGAAAAAUGGAAGAUGGAUUUUAGCCUGGAAAAGCAAUUCACAGCAACAAUAAAAAGGUGAAAUUAAAAACUCAAUUGAAUCAAAUGAAGAAUUUUCUAGAGUGCAAACAAUUAGUGUUAUCAGCAAGAAGUUUCAGACCAUAAAAUGCAAAAGCAUGUGCCCAAAAUGCAAUCCUAUAAAACAUGAAACAGCAGCCAUAAGAUAAUCGGAAAUUUUCUAAUAAAAUGAACCGAAGACCAACUUUGAAUAAUUGGUAACGAUGAGGCUUUGACAUUGAUAGAGUGUGUAUGAGAGAGAGAGAGAGAGAGAGAGAGAGAGAUGGAAAUAGAGUUAGAAUUAGACCAAUGCAGAAAUCAAC